rnacentral:rRNA from 1 species
UACGUAGGGGGCAAGCGUUGUCCGGAAUCAUUGGGCGUAAAGAGCGCGUAGGCGGUCCGUUAAGUCCGCUCUGAAAGUCCGGGGCUCAACCCCGGGAGGCGGGCGGAUACUGCCGGGCUAGAGUCCGGAAGAGGCGAGUGGAAUUCCUGGUGUAGCGGUGAAAUGCGCAGAUAUCAGGAGGAACACCGAUGGCGAAGGCAGCUCGCUGGGACGGUACUGACGCUGAGGCGCGAAAGCUAGGGGAGCAAACGGG